CGGGUUGUAAAGCACUUUAGUGGGGGAGGGAGAGGCUGUAGGGUAAUAUCCUAUAGCGGAGACGUUACCCCAAGAAUAAGCACCGGCUAACUCUGUGC
rnacentral:rRNA from 1 species